rnacentral:rRNA from 1 species
AUUGAACGCUGGCGGCAUGCUUUACACAUGCAAGUCGAACGGCAGCACGGGAGCAAUCCUGGUGGCGAGUGGCGAACGGGUGAGUAAUACAUCGGAACGUGCCCUGUAGUGGGGGAUAACUAGUCGAAAGACUAGCUAAUACCGCAUACGACCUGAGGGUGAAAGUGGGGGACCGCAAGGCCUCAUGCUAUAGGAGCGGCCGAUGUCUGAUUAGCUAGUUGGUGGGGUAAAGGCCUACCAAGGCGACGAUCAGUAGCUGGUCUGAGAGGACGAUCAGCCACACUGGGACUGAGACACGGCCCAGACUCCUACGGGAGGCAGCAGUGGGGAAUUUUGGACAAUGGGGGCAACCCUGAUCCAGCAAUGCCGCGUGUGUGAAGAAGGCCUUCGGGUUGUAAAGCACUUUUGUCCGGAAAGAAAUCGCUUCGGUUAAUACCUGGAGUGGAUGACGGUACCGGAAGAAUAAGGACCGGCUAACUACGUGCCAGCCGCCGCAGUAACAC